rnacentral:rRNA from 1 species
GCGGCAAGACGGAAAGACCCCGUGAACCUUUACUAUAGCUUGACACUGAACAUUGAGCCUUGAUGUGUAGGAUAGGUGGGAGGCUUUGAAGUGUGGACGCCAGUCUGCAUGGAGCCGGCCUUGAAAUACCACCCUUUAAUGUUUGAUGUUCUAACGUUGACCCGUGAUCCGGGUUGCGGACAGUGUCUGGUGGGUAGUUUGACUGGGGCGGUCUCCUCCUAAAGAGUAACGGAGGAGCACGAAGGUUGGCUAAUCCUGGUCGGACAUCAGGAGGUUAGUGCAAUGGCAUAAGCCAGCUUGACUGCGAGCGUGACGGCGCGAGCAGGUGCGAAAGCAGGUCAUAGUGAUCCGGUGGUUCUGAAUGGAAGGGCCAUCGCUCAACGGAUAAAAGGUACUCCGGGGAUAACAGGCUGAUACCGCCCAAGAGUUCAUAUCGACGGCGGUGUUUGGCACCUCGAUGUCGGCUCAUCACAUCCUGGGGCUGAAGUAGGUCCCAAGGGUAUGGCUGUUCGCCAUUUAAAGUGGUACGCGAGCUGGGUUUAGAACGUCGUGAGACAGUUCGGUCCCUAUCUGCCGUGGGCGCUGGAGAACUGAGGGGGGCUGCUCCUAGUACGAGAGGACCGGAGUGGACGCAUCACUGGUGUUCGGGUUGUCAUGCCAAUGGCACUGCCCGGUAGCUAAAUGCGGAAGAGAUAAGUGCUGAAAGCAUCUAAGCACGAAACUUGCCCCGAGAUGAGUUCUCCCUGACUCCUUGAGAGUCCUGAAGGAACGUUGAAGACGACGACGUUGAUAGGCCGGGUGUGUAAGCGCAGCGAUGCGUUGAGCUAACCGGUACUAAUGAACCGUGAGGCUUAACCUU